GCUAAUGGCACUCUUCAUGACAAGCCUGAUUGUACUGUUAAGCUCCAGAGGAAAAAAUGUGGCUACAGAGUAUAUUAAAAUACAUACAAUUGAAAAGGAAAAUGUUCAUUUUUGCAAGCAGAAGAUUACCAACAGAAUGCUAAAAUUGAAGCUAGAAGAAAGAUUUGAAGUGCCUUUACAAGGUUAUUUCCAAGCAGGGAGCUAUACGAAAAGCAAAAUCUUAAGAAAACAUGACCAAUGUACAGAAAAAAUAAAAGUGAAUAGAGAAAAAUUAUUAAGUACAUAUAAUUGGAAACACCUAUUUCUAGAUUUUAAAAACUAUGAAAUCAAAUUGAAAAGAGAUUUACAUAAAAGAUGGAGGUCUUAA
rnacentral:lncRNA from 1 species